CUUGACAAAUGGCCAGCAAGCAUCAAGCUAUAACCAUGGUUUUCCGGCGGUGGCUUGCGGCGGUAGUAGCUGGUGUGGGUGAUCGGCGGCGUGUGGACUCCGUCGAAGCUUGGCAAUGGCGACCUCCCUCUCCGUGACGAAGCAACAGCAACGUUCCCCUGUUCUUACCUUCGGCGAUCGACGUAGCGAUGGUGAAGGUGGCGGGCACCUAUGAGCCGCGUAAGGCGGUGGUGCCUUCUCCCCUGUUUCCAGUGACGUACGACAGUUCAGCGGGGGGAGGUAGGGCGGUGCAAGACAGCGGCAUGGUUCAGCGGCGACCCGACAUCGGCGGUGGCGUGAAUGGCCCCUCCGCCUUCCUUUAUUCUUUCUCGUCGAAGCUUGGGCUUUUUCCCUCCUGUGUAGCGGCGGCGGAUUUUAUCCUCCUCCAACGUUCUCCAUGCAGCAGCUGUGGCGAUCCUCCUUCCCCGUCGACGAAAGAACAAUGAGUUCAGCGGCGGAUUGUGGCAACGGUGCAGCUUCGGCGGUGUGAACUCCUCCGUUCGUCCAACGACUGCAACCCCGGUGGCCUUGGUCUCUCUCUCCGUGCGACGUUUCUGGGCAGCAGCUGAGAAGUGAUGGUCGACGAACUAGCAGCAGCGACGGCACGUCCUCUCUCACUCCCAUUUCCGUUGAUGGUGGCCGGUACAUCAUAAGAAGGUGGUAGUUCGGUGGUUGCAGGGCUUAGCAGAAGGAGAUGAGGUGGUGUGAUGGUAGGGCUUUGGCGUGUUGACUUGGAGGGCAGGGGUUUGAGUCCUUGCUGGGAUUUGCAUGUUGAUUUUUGAGGUUCAUGAUUAUGGACCUAGCUUAUGGGAUGAGCCUAAGUUUGGUGAUUGCUAUUGGAUUAAUACGCUUCAAGAGUGUACUUGGACGGUAUAAUGUGUCAUGUCCAAGUGUUUCGUGCGUGUUUGUGAGGGGUGGAGUGACGGAGGGGUGAACUCCGCUGGAAGGUUCCGUUUUCUCAUGCGGAAGGGUAGGGCGGAAUGGCGUGUUCUGCCGAGUCUUUCCGUGAGAAGGAGACGGGAAAGUGUGGCGGUGCAUUCUGCUCCGUUCGCAUGUUCUGCAAGAGUGCUCCCGGUUCUGUUCCAGUGAGUCUUUUUGGGGUUUGUUAGCUCUGUUGUUUCCCUUUUUAUUCUGGAAUGUGUACUGAGCAUCUUGUUGAGUAUUCCACCUUGAUCUUUGAGUAUUUAUCCCUGAUCUUUGGACAUUAUCUUGAUCUCUUGAGUUGUAUCAUUGGUUCAUUCUUUGAUUUCUAUCCUGAGUAUGCUUUGUGUUCGUUUUGUGAGAUGAA